AUCAACUCCUCGCACCCGCAAGAGGCGGAGAGGUAGGAGGCUGGGCGGGGGUUGUACCAAUGCCUCACGGUAGCGGGGGGAAGCGGACUGUACCAACUCCUCGCACGGACAGAUAGGGCACAUGUUUUUGGGCCGUAUUAUGAUCCAGGCUGUCCUGCCAGACCAGAGCCUGCAAAGAAACUUACUGUUGGACCCUGGGACAACAGCGCAAUAACCGGAGCUGUGCAGCUGGUAACCCAAGGAUGAAUGCAUUCCCUCUGGUCUGUCCCAGCUGCUGUGGGCCAUUGGGAGUUCCGCCAGAAGCCAAAAGGGGCCACUAGCACAAUGAACUUCCCUGGAGAGGGGAAGCACAAGAGGAGCUGAGCUCAUUCAAACCAUGCAGAGGCCUGGAGAUAGUGCUGGAAGCCAGGGACAAAGCUGGACCAGGGGACAACAAACCCCUCCACAAGAGAAGCGGCACAGAGCCACAGCGGAGGAAAAGAGCUUCCCGGACCAAUGCAGAAACUGAAGUACAAAGUGACUACUUGCCUAGGACUACACAACAAGUCAGAAGCUGAGCUGUAAUUGGAUCUGAGGAAUUCCUGAACUGAGCUUUUAUCAUAAAAUAAACUUCAAUUAAAGUGUAGUAUUUGUCCCACAGAAGGCAGUCCAAAUAGUGCUUUCUACAGCAGGGACCUAUAUAGGUGCCCAUACUUUCUUCUGUCCAAUUACAGCAUUUCAUUAACUCCCCUAAGGUAAUGAUGUUACUGAAAAAUAGAAUGGCCAUUGCCUUUUUUCUCAAGGAAUACCUUGUUUAUGACUCUGGACAUUAUAAGCUGUCUUAAUGAGAAAACAAAUUUUAAUUAAUAAACUACAGUCAU